AGAUCUCCAUACAGGAAAAGAGUCCCAUGAAAGUAACUUCUGAAUAACCCUAAACAACGUGUCAUCAUGGAGACCAAAGAGCUACCAAAAACAUCUGGUUAAAUCAGAUGCAUUUAUGACAAAGAACUACACAGAUGCAGAUGCCACGGCUGUGGAUUUGAGGAGAGUUGACUGCUCCGUAUUACACAAGCUGGGAUUCAUCCAACUCUGGACGCUGGGUUGAGGCUGGUGACUUCCAGCACUUUGUCCCUGACCCCCAUGUGUACCCCCAGAAACAGGACUUCACCCCCAUCACUCAGGGCCAGGCAUAUUACGGCCUACCUGCCCAGCCGUAUUACGCAAGUUGGGAUUCGUCCAACUCUGGCCCGCGGGUUGAGGAUGGUGACGUCCAACACGUUGUCUCUGCGCCCCACGUGCCCCACUUGGAACAGGACUUCUCCCCCAGCAGUCAGGGCCAGGUGUAUUACAGCCUGCCUGUCCAGCCACAGCCAUAUUACGCAAGUUGGGAUUCGUCGAGCUCUGAACCGUGGGUUGAGGAUGGUGAUGUCCAGCAUCUUGUCUUUGCCCCC
ensembl:lncRNA